GUGCAAGUAGCUCAGGUGGUUAGAGCGUCACACUGAUAAUGUGGAGGUCGUUGGUUCAAGUCCAUCCUUGCGCA
rnacentral:tRNA from 1 species